rnacentral:tRNA from 1 species
GACAGUGUGGUUUAGUGGUUUGAGCAUUGGACUAUCACCCUGGAGACCAGGGUUUGAAUCCCAUCUUGGCCA